GACGAACGCUGGCGGCGCGCCUAACACAUGCAAGUCGAACGAGCGAGAGAGAGCUUGCUUUCUCGAGCGAGUGGCGAACGGGUGAGUAACGCGUGGGGAACCUGCCUCAAAGAGGGGGACAACAGUUGGAAACGACUGCUAAUACCGCAUAAGCCCACGGCUCGGCAUCGAGCAGGGGGAAAAGGAGCAAUCCGCUUUGAGAUGGCCUCGCGUCCGAUUAGCUAGUUGGUGGGGUAACGGCCCGCCAAGGCGACGAUCGGUAGCCGGACUGAGAGGUUGAACGGCCACAUUGGGACUGAGACACGGCCCAGACUCCUACGGGAGGCAGCAGUGGGGAAUAUUGCACAAUGGGGGAAACCCUGAUGCAGCGACGCCGCGUGGAGGAAGAAGGUCUUCGGAUUGUAAACUCCUGUUGUUGGGGAAGAUAAUGACGGUACCCAACAAGGAAGUGACGGCUAACUACGUG
rnacentral:rRNA from 1 species